rnacentral:tRNA from 1 species
GCGAGCUUGGCGGAAUGGUAGACGCACGAGACUUAAAAUCUCGAGUUCGUAAGAACGUGCGGGUUCGAGUCCCGCAGCUCGCA